GAAGAAAUCGGAGACCCAGUAGCAGCAGUUCUCGACGAGAACGACCCGAACCAAGAGAAGGGAAAAGAGUGGUACUCGGUACUCACCCUUCGCAAGCCUUGUCGUUUCCUUCUCCCUUGCACUCUUGCUGUUUGGUCUGCUACACUAAUUCCCUAUUUCCAUAUCCCCCGAUUUUGAAUUCCCGAGCCUCAUUACUUUGCCGAUUCCUUGUGAUAAGUGAUAACACAUAUUCAGAAGCGGAAAUGGAAGUUUUCUAGUAGUCUUGUCUCUGUGAUCGGAGUAACAAAACCAGAUUCUCGGAGACACUUUGUAUUCUUUUCACAAAGCUGAUCCUUUGAAAGAUGAUGCUUCAAUUCCCGGACCCGGUGAAGCUCAAAACCAGGAAGAUUGUGUUUGAGGAGGCGUAUGCAGCACGUGACUCUGCUACGCUUGAGCAAUUGAAGGAGCUUAGCUCUAAGCGCAGAGUGAUCGAGGAGUCCAUCAACGAGAGCAGUUCCAUCACGGAAGCUAUUGCACGAGAAAUGUCUGGAGGAUUGACAUCCCAAGUUCAGCAGGACCUGCAAAGGCUAGAAGGGUAUCUUCCAUUAUUGGAGAAUUUGAUUUUCCACAUAGAUUUAAUUGGUAGCAAUUGCCAGAUAGUGCGGUGGACUUCAGAUCUGAAGAUACGAUGGAGUAGUGCGCUGAGCUCAUCUUCUUUCUUCAACCUUCUGGGUCCAAAAUUUUUUCAAAUUGAUAACUUGCGAUUUGAGCUUGGUAUGACCCUUUUUCUUUAUGGUGCAAUCCUUCGAGAGAGGGCUUUGGAAGUCCUGCCAACAGAUUUGGUGCAAUCUGCCACCUUCUUCAGAGAAGCUGCUGGAGUAUAUCAUCAUCUGGCUAAUGAGGUUCUUCCCUCUUUGGGACCUGCAUUUCCUGCAGAAAGGCCACCAGAAGCCAUCUCAUCUGUCUCCACUGUCAUGAGCCUCAUUUGUUUGGCAGAGGCCCAGGCAGUAACCAUCAGGAAGGCUGAAGAAAAAGGCACUGCUAUAGGCCUCUUGGCAAAGUUGCACCAUGGUGUUACACAGUUACUCGAUGAAGCCUAUAGUCUUUUAAAUACAGCAAGUAGUGAGUGCAGAGAUAUUUCAUCUCACUUGGUGGAAUUUAUAUUGUCAUGCAAAUCUCUACACGAGUUAAGAAGUCAGAAAUAUCUUGCUGGAACUCUGAAGAUUGCUGGUCAAGUUGGGGUUGCAGUUGGAGUUCUUCGUGUUGCAGUGAUCAACGUCCAAAAGAAGAUUCCAGGUGAAGAGUCAUGGAGAUCAGUGUUCAGAAAGGAAAUUGAUGAUGCUUCUGAAAUGCUCAGGAAAUUUGAGCAUGAGAAUGAAUUUGUCUGGCAUGAGAAGAUUGCUUCUGGUGAUGAGUUGCCAUUACCCCAAGUCCCAGGAACAGGGACAAGAAAGAUAGGGUAAGCAUGGCCUUCCAGAUGGAACUGAAGUAGUGGGUCAGCCUGCGCCAAGUGGCAGACUCUUGAAGAUGGACAUUGAGGAAUUUUGGGUGGUUAAAAUACCCCCGAGACACAUUUCAGUUUUCACUAAAAUUCGCGGGAAAGCUCGGACGCGGGGCUACCAUGGCCGUUGUUCACUGCAUUUCUCUUCCUUGCUUGUGCAAACCAAGCAGAACCGCGACACCCUUAUCUCCAAUCUCUCAUGCCUGUUUAGUCUCAAUUGUUUGCAGUCCGGUUUGCAAAGGCUCCAAUGCAUUGAAGCUCUCGACCCCAAGGCGGAGUAGGGCUGUAACGCAGUUGGGUCGUGUUCUUCGGGCACUGAUAUGUUCAAACUCACUUACUUAGAGGGGAAUGGUUGGUUGUGGGAAGUUGAUGGAUUGAAACUAUUGGUUGAUCCAAUCUUGGUGGGUAAUUUGGAUUUUGGAAUUCCCUGGCUUUAUGAUGCUGCCAAGAAGGUUUUGAAGAAUUUCUAGCUUAGUGAUCUUCCUGAAAUUGAUUGCUUACUGAUUACACAAAGCCUUGACGAUCAUUGCCAUUUGAAAACCUUGAAGCCCCUAUCUGAAAAGUCCCCAAAUCUUAGAGUCGUAGCGACUUUCAAUGCUAAGCCACUGCUGGAUCCCCUUUUUAGCAAUGUCGCAUACAUAGAGCCUGGUCAGAGCUCUGUUAUUGAAGCAAGAAAUGGUUCUAAAGUCAGGGUCCGUGCCACACCGGAUCCAGUUCUAGGUCUCCACGGCAGCAUCCCAAGAAUGGGUAUCUUGUCACUUCUCCUCAGGGUCCACUGACUCUUUACUAUGAACCCCACUGUGUAUACAACAAGAACAUUCUGGAAAAGGAAAGGGCUGACAUUGUCAUCACCCCGGUCAUAAAGCAGCUUCUCCCUAAAUGUUGGUUUCAGGACAAGAAGAUGCAGUUCAACUUGCAAGGAUGCUGCAAGCCAAGUUCAUUGUGCCAAUGAAAAAUGGGGACCUUGAUAGCAAAGGGUUUCUCGCCAGUAUAAUUCAAGCUGAGGGAACAAUGGAAUCAUUUAAGGCUAUAUAGCAUUAGCUAUUCACUGUUGGAUAUGUUUAUCCUGCAAACGUGACAGAGCAACUGAGAAUUUAACUGUUUGCUAAUGAAGGAGCUACUGUGGAAGGAACUACCAGAUCAUGUAGAGGUAUUGGAGCCUACUCCCGGUGUACCACUAGAAAUCCAAGCACCUUCAAGUCUUACAUAGUGCAUCUUUGGUUAUAUGCGCAACUCAUUCGAAGAAGGAUCUCUAUACCAGAGGGUGGUGGCCGGUAGGCAUUCCUCGGUACUAUGACAUGGAAGGAGUGAUUUUCAAGUAGUCGGCAAUCCAUUGAACCAUUUGACAGACAGCUAGAGAUCAAAAUUGCCAGUCAAAGUUAAGUUCUGCCAAACAUAGCACAAUAAUAGAAAGAGAUAUUCAUAUAAGAAUAACAAGGGUUGUGCCAAAUAUAGCAUUAAUGUUUUCCAAUACCAGUACUGUUCGAUGUUGUUUUACUCUUAAUUAAUGUACGAGGCGCCUGUGGUGCUUCAUUUCUGUAGCAGUACUAUGAGCUUGGGAUAUCUUCAAGCUGCAACCCCUAUUUGGUAAAGGUGCAUGGCCUUUGUAUCUUUAUCAUGAGAUGAUCAAUGGUCUUGCAGAGAAGUAUUUAUGAUUUA